rnacentral:lncRNA from 1 species
GCCACCACAUAGCUGUAAAGGUCAGAGGGUAGCUUUAUGGAAUUGGUUCUUUUUACAUGAAUGCCAGGCAUGUGUGGUAAAUGCUUCAAUCUGUCAAGCCAUUCACCAGCAAAACAAGGUGACCGGUCUCUGAGGACCCCAUAGGGUAGUCAGGCAAAAUGUGUAUGUUGGAGCUGGUGGGAGGUGGCAGGCGGGCAGCCUGGGGUCUAGGUCUGCAACUGAACACUGGUACUGACCCUGGCCCUUCCAUCACUCCUUCCAAUGUGUUCUCAGGUGUCGCGCUUCUGGCCAAUGCCCCUGAGAGGGUUGUAGAACGGCGACGACGGCCAAGGGACAGCCCUGUCCUGAGUAACAGUGGCCCCAGAGUCUCCAGGUCAACCAAACAGAAGUCGGCACUCCUCUCUCCUGAGG